rnacentral:rRNA from 1 species
UACGUAGGGUGCAAGCGUUGUCCGGAAUUAUUGGGCGUAAAGAGCUCGUAGGCGGUCUGUCACGUCGGCUGUGAAAACCCGGGGCUCAACCCCGGGCCUGCAGUCGAUACGGGCAGACUAGAGUGCGGUAGGGGAGACUGGAAUUCCUGGUGUAGCGGUGAAAUGCGCAGAUAUCAGGAGGAACACCGGUGGCGAAGGCGGGUCUCUGGGCAACAACUGACGCUGAGGAGCGAAAGCGUGGGGAGCGAACAGG